rnacentral:rRNA from 1 species
GACGAACGCUGGCGGCGUGCCUAAUACAUGCAAGUUGAGCGCUGAAGGUUGGUACUUGUACCAACUGGAUGAGCAGCGAACGGGUGAGUAACGCGUGGGGAAUCUGCCUUUGAGCGGGGGACAACAUUUGGAAACGAAUGCUAAUACCGCAUAAAAACUUUAAACACAAGUUUUAAGUUUGAAAGAUGCAAUUGCAUCACUCAAAGAUGAUCCCGCGUUGUAUUAGCUAGUUGGUGAGGUAAAGGCUCACCAAGGCGAUGAUACAUAGCCGACCUGAGAGGGUGAUCGGCCAAAUUGGGACUGAGACACGGCCCAAACUGCUACGGGAGGCAGCAGUAGGGAAACUUCGGCAAUGGACGAAAGUCUGACCGAGCAACGGCGCGGGAGUGAAGAAGGUUUUCGGAUCGUAAAACUCUGUUGGUAGAGAAGAACGUUGGUGAGAGUGGAAAGCUCAUCAAGUGACGGUAACUACCCAGAAAGGGACGGCUAACUACGUG